GUGAUGACCACAUCCGAUGUCGAUUGGUGACAAAGCCGUCCCAGUCUGA
rnacentral:snoRNA from 1 species